CAGGUAUAGUGGGACAGAGACAGCUGAUGUCGACUCCUACAACGACUAUAACCUACCUUACCCGACCAACGAGAUGCGCAAGCUGUGCUGCGAGAUCAUCGAGAUGGUGGAUACCUACCACAGCUAUAACAGGCCCUUCAGGAGUUCAAGGUGAGACAGGUAUGGUGGGACAGAGACAGCUGAUGUAAGUGCGUAGGUACGCACUAUAAGUUGGCAUGUGCGUAGGACAAAGCGCGGUUAUCGUAUAAACCAUUUAUUGGUUUGCUACAAUGCAUAUCUACAAAAAACGAGAGCAACACAAAAAAUAAUAACAUUAAUAACAAUAAUAAAAAGUAGGCAGAAUAGUGUACAUGGAAAGGGUUCAGGCUUAUAAAUUGACAUUAAUGUAGUUUGUACUGUAAUUUUUUUUUUUUUUUGGAUAAACAUUACAAAAUAAUUUAAUCACUCAAUACCAGUUAAUUAUUAUUACAAAUCAUCCACAGCGCAGGCUUCGUCAAAAACAUAGUUACAAAACAGAAUCCGCAACAAACUUCGUCCAAUCUACAUAAGUGAAAAUCCGCCACAGGCUUCGUCAUUAAUGUAGGUACAACAUAAAAUCCGCAACAAGCUUUGUCCAAAAACCUAAAACUACCUACGAUUCCCCGUUAAUCCCCGAGACGACACGUACCCGGCGCAAAAGUUCCAAAAAUACUGGCCGCAUUACCGCGCUGUACUGCCAAUGAUAUUUGCUG